rnacentral:rRNA from 1 species
GGGUGCAAUCAUACCAGCAGGUCCAGCACUAUAAGCUGGACCGCAUUGGAAUUUGGAACUCUAAAGCUAAACGUGCUUAGAUGAGAAUAGUAUUAAAAUGGGUGACCUCCUACUAACUCUUUGUGUUGUACAGU